AAAAGUUCAUUCGUACUUUUCCUGUUUGCCAUUUUUCAUGAUCCUUACCCUAGUUUUUUUCUAGGGUUUCGAAAUUGCAAAAGGCCUAUUGAAGGGGUAAAUUAUAAAUCUGGAAAAGGCUUGUCACCUAAGUCUGAAUCGUUGUGGGAAAUCCGAAAUCGUACAGAUUUAAUCACUCAACCUUCUGCUACUUCUUUUACUGGCGGCUAUCUACUUGCCGAGAGGUCAUAUCCACUAGCUGUUCACCCAAGAUUGAGUUUGAUCAGAAUUUUAGGUAUGAUAUAUUUCUUACUCCUCUUAUUAUGUUUUAUUUUAUUUGUUUAUUUAUCAAUUUCUGGAUUUUAAUGCUCUAUAAGUUUAUAUUACCUAGAUAUUUAGUUCUAAUGCUCUUAUUAUGUUUUUUUUUAUUUGUUUACUUAUCAAUUUAUGGAUUUUAAUACUUUUAUUAUGUUUUAUUUUAUUUGUUUAUUUAUCAAUUUCUGGAUUUUAAUGCUCUAUAAGUUUGUAUUACCUAGAUAUUUAGUUCUAAUGCUCUCCAUCAUGGAUCUAUCAUGAUUAUGCAUAUUUUUUUGUUUUCCUUCUUGUGUACCUCCUGUUUAUAUGGGUCGUACCCUUGUUUUGGCGCCUUUUAAUGAUAUUUUACCACUUCCCCCCUCCCUACCAAAAAAAGAGAGAGCCUAUGCAUCAAGUACAUAUAUUUUGUUUUGCAGAUAUUUUUUUUUAAAGGACCAUUUUUUUUUACCAGUAAUUGGCCCUGCAUGUGUUUUGUUUAAUUUAUCCAGAGACAGCCUCAUCACUUUGUUCUCUCAUUUACCAAAAUUUGUUAGAUAAAUGAAAAUUCUUUCUCCACAAAGGGAGUGGAAUGAAAAUUAAAUUUGAUUAUACAAUUUUUGAAAAUAUAAUUCACUGGAGGCUGGGGAUUGAUGGAUGAAACAAUUCUGAAAACGCUGUUCAUGACACAUUUUAUUCGUUUGUGACUUUUUUAAAUGUGUCAAUUAUGUGUGCAUGAGCUGGUUAUCACUACAAGAAACAUGCUCAAAAGAUUGUACUUGAUGCAUAGGUUCUCUUUUUUUUUUAAAUGUGUCAAUUAUGUGUAAUCUCCAAACAAACAUGCUCAAAAGAUUGAAACAGGGAAUAGAGCAAGUUAUAACAAUCUCAGAUCACAAGUAGGCUUGAAAUAUCUUAAACCCUAGUCUUCAGUUAAAUCACCUGAAACUUGAGUUAAUUCUGGUUCUUACAGCUUCACAUACUCAUAAUGCACUAACUUAAUUAGAUACUCUAGUUCUUUCAACAAGAGACAUAGUUGUAGUGCACAAUAAGUGCUAGGACAGAACUGACAUCAGUUUUACACUUGAAUUCUACAGUAGUGAGAAUAAGCAGGUGUAUCUGCAAUGUAGGUGAAAGUAGGCCUUGAUUCAAGUUCCUACAACACUAAAUAAAUGAAACUUGUUCAGAAUGAUACUCUUCAGUGUAUAGUAAGUUUACUUCAAAUUGCAGCUCAAAAUAAGUCACAACAAAGUUUGAGCUGAAACUUUGUUCUUAGGGACUAAAUCGUAAUUUUACUUCCUUACAGCCUUGAACUUGAUUCCAAACACCUCAAUCCAGUUAUAUAUAUAUGCUCAGAAGGUAAUCACAACAAAGCUAGCAAUAUGAAUCAACUAGAAUGAGUUUAAAACUUUAUGUAGGCUAUUUUAUUCAAUAAGGCUGUUUUGUUUGGUUUGAGAGUUCAAAACCAAAUACACUCAAUUUUCAGUCUUGAUCUUUGUCAACAGAGCUCUAUAAUGAUUAAAUAUACUUGUUCAAAGCAUAAACUCAACACAUACAAGAAGUAAUCAACAUAAAACAGUCCAUUAGAGGCUAUGCACCAGAAAAGUAAGCUGAACUGAGAUAUGAGUACUCAUAUUGUUUUUCUGUGCAAAAUUAGGCAUAUACCUGAGUUCUGCAGAUGUAAAUAAAUGCACCAAGCUUGCUUCAACCAUCACACAGCACUUGGAACCUCUACAACCAAUUUUGACCCUUUAAUCCAGCCUCAACAUCAACAUAAAUGCAUCAGAAAAAUCUGGUUCACAGGUUUAGAAAUUCUUCAGUGGAUUAGUGCACUCUCAUAGUGAUUUCAUAGAUUAAAUUAGCUCAGAACUUCAAUUAAUCUCUCUGAAAGUGACUCAUAUUUUCAAUUCUCGAGCCUCACACUCAAUGCAGCUCAAUAUAUAAAAAGAGGCUCAAUAUUUGCACACAUAGGUGCUGCUCUAUAACAGUAUAUUUAUACACUGAAUUUGCUGCCCUAGUGUGAAUAAGAAUAUUCCCCAUUUAACCAAUCAUAGAUAGGAAUAUAUACAGAAAUUAUAUACCAUGAAUGGACCAAACAAUCCCUGUACAAGCCUAGCUUGUGUCACACCAACCACUUUUUCUGCAGCCCUCACAGGUCAAUGAACAAUGCUGAAAUAUAUAGCAAAGAAUUGUAUUUCUGUGCAUAUUUUUCUCUCACCAGGACCAAUGUGCACGUGGCACAUUGUUGUGAACCCUUUAACAGCCUUGAGAUAUCAAUGAAGUACCAGAAUUGCCCUUGGAAUGAUACACUUUGUGUAUACAAGCUAAAUGAUGAUAUUCAGCAAAUUUUUCUGAAGCAAAGAUACAAUGCACCUUCAGAAAAUGUUUCCAAUCAUACACUGCAGUUUAGAUUGAUCAAAAUACCCCUAAGGAUGCAGCUGAGAUUACAUAAUUGCCCUUCACUAAUGACACUUGUCACUUUAAACCAGAUGAUACUUACUGCAGCCCUUGAAAGUGACCAGAUGAUGCUUGUUGCAGCCCUUGAAUUUGUGAUUCAACCUUUAAUAUAAUAUCUGUAGUGCAAUGUAGUAUCAAAGAUAAGUGUAGCAAUAUUGCUCCCAUGUAUAGAAAGACUAAUAUGCCCGUGUUAAGACUUGUAUUCAAGAACAAACCUUAAGAUAGGUGAUACCAUUUAGCCUCAAGAUUAGUAUUUUUCAUUCAAAGAGAAAACCAGAUCAACAGAAUUCCACAGGAAAAUAGUAAGUCAAGAAAGGCAAAACACAGAAGAUGAGGAAGUUGAAAGUCCUGAGGAGGGUCCUGCUAUUCGCAUGUACAAGGACACGCAUUUUUUGGAAGAAACUGGAUGGGUAAACAAGAGAGCUAAGCAGAACUACGAUGAAAUGAAACAGAAGUUUUCACAAGUUUUUCACAAUUCUGAUGGUAACAGUCCUGUCAUAAAUGAUGUUAAGAUAGUGGAAAACCAAUUAGGUAUCAGAAAGGGAUAUCGUCGUGGGUUCGGAAAUGGUUUUGUAGCUCCAAGCCAUCAACGUGCAUCCUCAUCUUUUGAAGAGGCUUCUAGCAAAAGGGUAAAAAAUGUUGAAGAAGAUAAUGCACAACUUAGGGAGAAAGUUACAAAUUUGGAGGAGAAGUUGGAUACAUUUCAGCACCUCCUUGAGCAGCAAUAGCAAAUCCUUCAGCAGCAGCAACAACAACUCCAACAACUCCUUGAGCAGCAACAACAGAACUAACAACCGCCACCACGAUUCCACCAACAGCAGCAAGCCCCACCAAGCUAGUAUCAGCAGCCGCCAACAUGGUGGCAAUUUCAUCACCACCACAACAGUCACCUGAAUGAACUAUAAAGAUAAUUAUUUUGGUAGAUAUAUUUUGGAGCUUUUUGAUGGCUAGCUAGCUGAUUUCUAACUAUUUUGGUAGUGUAUUUUUUUCCCUGCAUUUUCAUGAUUGCAUUCAGUUUAAAAUGAUGUUUUAAUUUUUAAGGAUGUUUGGAACCAUUUGAUGUUAAAGCAGCUAGUAGAUACUUUUAGCUCUUCUUUACAAAACUGGAGAAUUUGUAGUUUCAUCAUGAGACUAAGAGCUUGUUUGUUGGCACCGUAUUAUGGUGGUAAUUUAUUUAUUUCUUUCUAAAA